ACGAACGCUGGCGGCGUGCUUAACACAUGCAAGUCGAACGGUGAAGCGCCUUCCUUUUUGGUGGGUGUGGAUGAGUGGCGAACGGGUGAGUAACACGUGAGUAACCUUCCCCCUUCUUCUGGAUAACCGCAUGAAAGUGUGGCUAAUACGGGAUAUUCUGGGUCUGUCGCAUGAUGGGUCUGGGAAAGAUAUUGUUUCGGUGGGGGAUGGGCUCGCGGCCUAUCAGCUUGUUGGUGGGGUGAUGGCCUACCAAGGCGGUGACGGGUAGCCGGCCUGAGAGGGUGGACGGUCACACUGGGACUGAGACACGGCGCAGACUCCUACGGGAGGCAGCAGUGGGGAAUAUUGCACAGUGGGCGCAAGCCUGAUGCAGCGACGCCGCGUGAGGGAUGGAGGCCUUCGGGUUGUGAACCUCUUUCGCCAGUGAAGCAGGCCUGCCUCGUUUGUGGGUGGGUUGACGGUAGCUGGAUAAGAAGCGCCGGCUAACUACGUG
rnacentral:rRNA from 1 species